UGUUCUGUGGCUCAGUUGGUUAAAGCGCUAGUCUAGUGUAUACGGAGUCAAGGGUUCAAAUCCCUCCAGAACGU
rnacentral:tRNA from 1 species